rnacentral:rRNA from 1 species
ACUCCUACGGGAGGCAGCAGUAGGGAAUCUUGCGCAAUGGGCGAAAGCCUGACGCAGCCAUGCCGCGUGAAUGAUGAAGGUCUUAGGAUUGUAAAAUUCUUUCACCGGGGACGAUAAUGACGGUACCCGGAGAAGAAGCCCCGGCUAACUUCGUGCCAGCAGCCGCGGUAAU